AAUGAAUUUCAUAUUGCCAAUCUUUUAAGGCUAAAUAGUAUAUCUGAGAGUUAUCCUGCACUAUUUGAUAAUCUUAGACACCUGCUUAACUUACUGGCAAAAGUAAUUAAUUGAAAGUUAGGUGAGCAAACCUUUUAUAUAAAAAUACAAAUAACUUUUCAUUUUAUUUGAAGCCUAACAAAACAGGCUAUUUUUUUUGCUGGAUUAACUAGACAAGAACAAAAAGGAACUGGAAAGUAAGGGUUGUGUCCUGCUCUGGCCUAUCAUAAUAUAUGUUAGCCCUUUAAAAGAUGAAUUAUUAGAAAACUCAAGAAACUGGAUAGCUGUAAAAUCCUGCAGUGCUAAAUUUAGAUGCACAAUGCAUCUGCUUCUAGAUGAGUGUUUACAGCAUUGCAGCUAUAAGCUAUUUAGCUAUGAGCCUGUAUCCACAUAAGUCUCAUUCUGUAGGAUUUACAUCUAGGGUUACAGUUAGCAAUUUAAGAUUUAGCAAAGUUAUUCCUAAUUUACCAGCUGGCAGCUGCACAGGUUACAGGGAAGUUUGUUUCAAUUUCAAGUCACAAGACCAGCAGACCUAUUGGAAAAUUUAGUACAGUAAGCCCGCAAGUUACACACAUAUAACUUGUGCAUAUUCAGCUUUACACACUUGGUCCCCCCUCCUUUGGGGGGCGAGUAGGCAUCUGGGAAAAAGACUUUGGCAACCAAUGUGUCUUGACUCUUGACAGUACACAAUUUUGGCUUUAGGCACAAUCCCCAGAAUAUUAACCCUCACAUAAGUUGUGGGCUUACUGUAAUUGACGACAACAAAUGCAAUUACAGUGAAAGUGAAAUAGAUCAGAACACAGUCUCAAUACAAGAUCACUAUUAAGAUCAAAUAUAUGUAAAGAUUCCUAAUAUUUAUAGCAUACAGGGAUGGGGCUACUUGUUACAAUUACUGCUAAUUUAUCCUCCCCAAACAUCUCUAGACACACUGCUGGCUAAAAAUGCAACUAGGUCACACACACACACACACCCUUUAAUCAAACCUGGUUUGGGGCAAAAUGCUUGAAAAUGCAAUCCAUACAAAGGCAUCCAGACCCCUUCUCCACCCACCAGGCAUUGGACAAUUGGGAAACACAUACGUGCAAAUGUGAUAGAAAUGCAGAGUCUGCGUCUUACACUGGUAAUGUGCACACAGCCUCAGUUACAGAUUGCUGGUGUUUGUAACCAUCAUAAUGGAUGCCCAGUUUAGCUGCAUCUGCAGUUUGUAUGCUAACAUAAUCUUGCCACAAUUAAUCUUGAAAACAUCCAGGAUUCUCUGGGUUUUUUGUUUUACUCUCAUACAAAUAAAUAGGGCUGCCUAGGAAAUUUCUUUGGAAACUUCAACUAGUUCAGAGCAGUGUGACCAGCUGAACUUAGACCAUCAUGCUGAUCAGGUAUUGCCAGCGCUGAAAGGUCUUCACUGCCUUGCUAUUGGUUUUGAGACCUAAUUCAAAGGACAUUUUUUAUAUAUAUAUAAUAAUAAUAAAAACUUGUAAAGUCCUAUGUAGCCUCUCUGAGCACUAGCCUACUCUCUCUAGUUCAUGUGACCACAUUUCUGGAUAGGAAUAUUUGAAGGAAUAAUCAGAAUCACAUACCAUUGCAAUACACUCUGGAGGAUCAGGAGAACAUGUGGCAGGGGAAGUAGAGAUUUUUUCCACCAGACAAACAGAAAUGCUUGUGCUGAUGGAAUUAUCUCCUUAGUGCUGCAUUGAAUUCCGCCCCGAAUCUGCUUGGGUAGUAUUCAACUAAGUUUUACACAGAGUAGAGCCAUUGAAAUUAAUGGACCUAACUUAGUCAUGUUCAUUCAUUUCAGUGGGUCUACUCUGACUAUAACUUAGUUGAAUACUAGCGCAUAUAAACGUAGGCAUGUUGGCUCUGCAGUGUGAUCAGGAACUCUACAAAAUGCAGGGUCUCCAGAUAUACAGUGGUACCUUGGGUUACAUACGCUUCAGGUUACAAACGCUUCAGGUUACAGACUCCGCUAACCCAGAAAUAGUACUUCAGGUUAAGAACUUUGCUUCAGGAUGAGAACAGAAAUUGUGCUCCAGCAGCGCGGCGACAGCAGGAGGCCCCAUUAUCUAAAGUGGUGCUUCAGGUUAAGAACAGUUUCAGGUUAAGAACAGACCUCCGGAACGAAUUAAGUACUUAACCCAAGGUACCACUGUAUAGCAAUUUCAUGUCUAUGCCAAACUUUCCAAGUAAUAAAGGCACAAUCCUACUCCCAUCUCCACAAAUUCAUAAUCAUGGUUAUGGUUGCAUGAACAUGGCUCCAAGUAACACCAAUAGGAUAUUAAACAAAGAAGCAGUUCUAUUUUUUAUAGGAAAAGAGGUGCUGGAACUCACCCUUGUUCUCUUAUAAUGGCACUGGAACUGAGUACUGGUGAGUUCCAGCUGAAAAAUAGCCCUGCAAAGAAGUAACUGGCAUAUGAAUAUGACUAAUCUAACAGUCCUGUUAAGUGUGACUUACUCCCAGGUAAGUAUGUAUAUUAUUGCAGUCUUAGUAGUAUUCAUAGAAUCAUAAAACUGUAGAGUUGGAAGUAACCCCAUGUCAUCCAAUCCAACCCCCGGCAAUACAGGAAUCCUGCUCACAGCCAUCCCUGGGUGGACUCGAAUCACCAACCUUCUGGUAAAUAGGCAGAUAAACUGACCCACUGCUGAAGGGACUCCUCACUGUAGAUCUUUCAGUUAAAGGAACAUAGGAAGCUGCCCUCUAGUAAGUCAUAUAUAUCUAGCUCACUAUUGUCAACACUGACUGGCAACAGAUACACAGGGUUUCAGUUUUUCUCAGCCCUAUCUGGAGACACUUGGCAUUUCAGCUAGGACCUUUUGCAUGCAAAUUCGAAUCCCCAUGAUGGGGUGAGCUCCCAUUGUUACGUUCCAGCUCCUGCCCACCUAGCAGUUCGAAAGCAUGUCAAAGUGCAAGUAGAUAAAUAGGUACCGCUUUGGCGGGUAGGUAAACGGCAUUUCCGUGCACUGCUCUUGUUCGCCAGAAGCGGCUUAGUCAUGCUGGCCGCAUGACCCGGAAGCUGUCUGCAGACAAACGCCGGCUCCCUCGGCCAGUAAAGCGAGAUGAGUGCCGCAACCCCAGAGUCAUUUGCGACUGGACCUAAUAGUCAGGGGUCCUUUACCUUUUAGACAUGAAGGAUUGUGCUGUUGGAUUUUGGUCCUUCAGAAGCAGAGUAAUUUUUCAUUUCAUUGCAUUUCUCUAAAUUAAAUCAGGAUAUAGAAACAUUGCACAUUCAUUCUACAGAAGAUAGAAACUGCAGAGACCUGAGUGAAGUGCAACUUUUACAGAGGCUCCAUGACUUUUUAAAACAUAAUGACACCUGGUGAUCAAAAGGAUUUCAGUCUCAUCAGGCAGAGGCUAUUUUUAGUUAACAGCACCGAGAAGUCAAGUUAUGAAAGUCUGUGGUUAUGAAAUAUCAACUUCCUGGGGUUAUGAAAGGUAUAUUAGAGCACGGUUCAACAGCUAGGAACCACCUGUCAUUCACAGUAAACUAAACUAAGGAGUUGGAGAGACUGGGAUAAAAAUACAGCUCUGUGAUUAUCACUGUUCCAUUGAGCUAUGGUUCUUUCGCCAGAAUCCUUUUGAAAUUCUUAAUCCUUAUUUACAGCAAGAAUUGGAAACGUGGAAGUUACUGGACUCCCAGCUCCCAUCAUCCAGGACCACUGGCCAUAACGGCUGGGGCUGAUGGGAGUCCAGGGACAUCUGGAGCAACACUGUUUCCCUCCCCUGGGACAUUUUAAUAUACUUUCAAUAUAACUUUGCAGCAUGUAAUUUCAAGAACUAAGGCUUAUAUUUGCACAGGUAUUCACUGUUGUUCAGUGAAACCAGGAUGCUCUUAAAUAAUAAAACUGACAAAUAUUGGUUAUUUAUUUAUUUAUAUACCACCAUCAAUGUAGAUGGCCGUGUACAUAAUUAAAAUAAGAAAUUCUAACCCAAAGAGUGUACAGUCCAGUUCAGUGCUAAGUGUUUGUAUAGCUGUCCACAGUAUCUUUAUAAGGGAAGAUGUUGGGGAGAAAAAAACCGGAGCAACUGCCUAUAUCCCUCUGAACUGAUUGGCCAUGCCCCCAUGACUUCCUCACAGCCCUUACCAGUCUAGUAGACAUGGUGGCAAGUAGCAGGUUUGGCGUGCACACACACACAAUUAAAACAUAAUGCAAAUGAGAUGCAUAUUUUUUCAAAAAAGAAAAGAAAAAUAAAGAUAGGAUUGUUAACAGUCUCAGCUUUAUUGCCACAUACAGGCUCCCUGUUCUGUCUGCUCUGUUGUGUAAGUCAGGAGGUAAAGCUAAAGGUAAAGGACCCCUGACUGUUAAGUCCAGUCACGAACGACUCUGGGGUUGCGGCGCUCAUCUUGCUUUACUGGCCAAGGGAGCCGACGUUUGUCCACAGACAGUUUUUCCGGGUCAUGUGGCCAGCAUGACUAAGCCACUUAUGGCAAACCAGAGCAGCGCACGGAAACGCCAGUCAGGAGGUAGAAAGCCCAAUUGAAUUCAAUAGCACUUACUUCUGAGCAGCCAUGUUUAGGACUGCACUGUAAAUCCCCCCCCCUUUUUUGUAUGUUGGUACUUUGAAAAUAAAACUGCCAAUAGUAGUUUUAAAGAGUCCCCAAACUGUCUGUGAUUCAUCAUAUCAUAAAAUCAAUAUUUGCAUUAUUAUUCAGAAGCUGCUCCUGCCACUUCUGCACUAUGAAUAAAGUGGAAGCAGUUUUCUACAAACCAGCCUUCAUGUUCCAGUGCAUUAUGCAUAAUUCCGGCUCCACACAGAAUGUCUCCAAAGCAUGCCCUAGCAAGAAAAAUC
rnacentral:lncRNA from 1 species